GGAGAAACACAAGUUGAGUUUUAGAUAUCCAUAAUCAGGUGGAUUUCGGUUCUAGAACAUCGAAAUCUCUCAUUGCGAAUCAAAUUUGCAACUCGAUCCAUGUUUAAUUUGCUCAUUUGUCAGUUUUUUUCUUCCCCAAAAUCAGAACCCUAUGUAAUCAGUAAGGAGGUAGUCAUGGAUUCAAGACGGAGUAUUAGAUUUGUUGUAUGGGAUUCUGGUGGAGGGAGGAAGAAUAUCCCAGCAUUAUGAUAUUUCCUCUCAAAACUAACUAAUAUGGUUAACAAACGGACCAUCACCAUUUCCUUAGAAACUUCUGAUCAUUUCCUUUCUUUAAUUCUGAAAUCUCAAGUAACUUCUGAUAAUUUCUUUUCUUUGGUUCUAUCAUCUGUAGGAAAAAAUGACAAACAAUAACAAACUACUCUGCUCUGUAUCAUUUUCGUAUGCUUUUUGAGUCUCAUUAAUGCUGAAGAUCCUAACUACGGCGUUACUGAAAAGGUAAUCAUUUCCUAUCAGUUUACCUUUCUUUGAAAAGUACAGUAAUCAUCUUUUGCAUCUGAAACUCGUUUGUUUGCUUUUGUAGCUUAAUAAGAUUACCCAUGCACCAUCACCAGUACUCAACUUUCCACCACCUCUUUACCAUACUAACAUUAUGAUAUUUCCUCUCAAAAUUAAGUAAUAUGGUUAACAAACAGAUCAUCACCAUUUCCUUGAGAAUCAAACAACAUAAAAUGUCGAUGAUUACUACAUGGCAGGCUUAAAUCUACUAUGAUAGCAGCUCUAUAUUCUGGAACAGGUCCCAUUUGGCUGGCAGAAAUAGGUAUGCUGCUGAUGCAUAUGCAAUAGUUUGCACAGAGAAGUGGAUCAAGUAAAACCCGAAGAUCCUGUGCUGAAUAAAUACUGGGAAUGUCUUGGUAAAGAGUCUUGAGACAGAAGUUUUGGUUGAGAAUCCUGCCAUUGGUGAUGGGACCAUCAAAUCUCCGAGCUUGCAAUGUUGCAGCGGGCAAGAACCAUCACUGUUAUGUUCUGCCUCGUUGUGAUCAUUCAAGACUGACAAAGCAUUGGAAAUUCUUUGAAGGGCGACAAAGAUUGAUUCACAGGAGUUUCUGGAGCUCGGUGAAUUGUUAAUUGCAACUGAUCCAGGCAAAGAUGCCCCCAUUUUACAAAUGUCUGAUCUACUACAUUCUGUCAAUGACUACCUUCCAAUGAGUUAUCAAAUCUCUAAAGGUUAAAAAUUUGAACCAUUGUUGAUUGUUCCCCAGUUGUAGAUCAAAAAUUUAACCUUAUUGAUGAUUUCCUCCACUUAUAUAGGUUUUUUAUUUUCCACUUAUAUAGGUUUUUUAUUUACCAUAGUGUAGAAACCCGUCUGGCCAUCCACGCAUCUCAACAAAAUUUUGAGUUACCAUAGGGUUUAGAGUAAUGGUACUGUGGUAGUAAUUUUAUGAUAUUACAGGGGCAAUGACAGUAAUUUCCAUGAUAAGUUAUUUGCACUUAAGAUCUGAAAUCCAGUGUAGGCCGCCGCCAUUUCACUUUCAGAACCUGUAACCCAAGAAUAUGCAACUAGAAUAUGAAACAGACAAGAAAGCGAGUCCGUCCGUCUUCAAUUUCAGAUUUCCUGUUAAUUUCGGUUCUAAAACAUCGAGAUCUAUCAUUACUAAUCAAAUUCGCAGCUGAAUCCAUGUUCAGUUUUCCCUGUGUUUUCAAUUUUUACCUCUCAUUCAUUUUCUUCCCCAAAUCAAAACCCCAACUAAUCAGUAAGAAGGUAGUGAUGGAUUCAAGAAUGAGUAUCGGAUUUGUUAUAUGGGAUUCCGGUGGACUGAAAAAUCACACAAGGAUAACCGCAGAAACAUGAUAUUUCCUCUCAAAAUGAUGUUCAGAGCGCAGCUGGAUCUCAAAACAUAAAUUGAUUGCUUCAUGGCAGUUGACAGCAGGCAAAUAACUUAAUUGUCAUGAUGUAACUUAUUCUGGAAAAGGAGUUCAUAAUCCCAAUAGGCCGAGUGAUAAUGUUUUUGACGCAGGAGCAAUCGUGUUUACAAUAACAGAAUUAAGAACGGCAACUUAAGAUUUCAACGACCCAAAUAUCAUCGGGAAGCUCAAAGAUGGAACCAUGGGUUCUUAUGACCAGAUGAUUCCCGACUGGAAACCGUUGCAAACAGUGAAUUGAUGUCUAGAGGUGGAAACAAGAUUGAAGUCAUCACAGGAGCUAGACCUAAUUGAUGUCCAAGCGGGUUGUCUUUUAUAGUUGAGAUUCUGAAGAAAAAUCUAAAGACUUAACAAAUGAUACAUGAAGAAAAUAACUAGGAUAAUCUACAGUCACAGCUCCAUAAGGUUUCAAAAGAAAAACACCUGAUAAACAUAAACUUAUUCAAGAGGAACAAUAUGAAGAUCCUUGGAGACCCGUGAUUCGAACAUUAUGCUCCUAAAUCGUGCUCUUGCGUCACAGGUUUGCUCUACUUGUGCUUCAUAUGCUCAAUGUUUCUAUGGCUUCUUCAAUCUAUUGAAUUAUAAUCCAAUGAUCUAGGUUCUAUUUUUAUUAAACACAGUAUAUUGGAUGACUACAAUGUUCUGUAUUGUGUGGAUCUGUUCCUUGUUGGGAUUUUUUUUACCCUGAGCAUUAGGUGGGAACAUGAUAUGUUGUCGUACCUACGUUUAAGUAGGGAAGAGAGGUUAUAUGCAGCUAAAUAGGCUUGCUGUUCACUGUCUAUCAGUUGCUAAAGAAUUUGAACUUCAUAAGGACAUUAUAUCUUGACAAUUUGUUGCUUUAUUGUAUUGCACUAGCAAGGGAACAUAUCCGGUGAUAUCUAAGUCUUUUAAUU